AACCGGCGAACGGGUGCGUAACACGUGAGCAACCUACCGAUUUGUGGGGGAUAGCCGGCCCAACGGCCGGGUAAUACCGCAUACGCUCGUCCGGCCUCAUGGCUGGACGAGGAAGGCAAAUCGAGGGGCUCGCGGCCUAUCAGCUAGUUGGCGAGGUCACGGCUCACCAAGGCGACGACGGGUAGCUGGUCUGAGAGGAUGGCCAGCCACAUUGGGACUGAGAAACGGCCCAGACUCCUACGGGAGGCAGCAGUGGGGAAUCUUGCGCAAUGGGCGAAAGCCUGACGCAGCGACGCCGCGUGGGGGAUGAAGGGUUUCGGCUUGUAAACCCCUGUUGCCCGGGACGAAAUGCCUCUUUCAAGGGGCUUGACGGUACCGGGUGAGGAAGCACCGGCUAACUCCGUGCCAGCAGCCGCGGUAAUACGGAGGGUGCGAGCGUUGUCCGGAAUCACUGGGCGUAAAGGGCGCGUAGGUGGCGGGUCAAGUCAACGGUGAAAGCUCGGCGCUUAACGCCGAGUCGGCCGUCGAUACUGGCUCGCUCGAGCACUGUAGAGGCAGAUGGAAUUCCGGGUGUAGCGGUGGAAUGCGUAGAGAUCCGGAAGAACACCGGUGGCGAAGGCGGUCUGCUGGGCAGUUGC
rnacentral:rRNA from 1 species